rnacentral:piRNA from 1 species
UGUAAACAAUAGAGCGCGCGCGCCGGAG